rnacentral:rRNA from 1 species
GAUAACCGUGGUAAUUCUAGAGCUAAUACAUGCUGGUUAGCCUGACUUUUAGGAAGGGCUGUAUUUAUUAGAUAACAAAUCAAUAUUCCCCGUGUCUAUUGUGAUGACUCAUAAUAACUGAUCGAAUCGCAUGGACUUUGUCCGCGAUACAUCAUUCAAGUUUCUGCCCCAUCAGCUUUCGAUGGUAGUGUAUUGGACUACCAUGGCUUUAACGGGUAACGGAGGAUUAGGGUUCGAUUCCGGAGAGGGAGCCUGAGAAACGGCUACCACAUCUAAGGAAGGCAGCAGGCGCGUAAAUUACCCAAUCCUGACUCAGGGAGGUAGUGACAAGAAAUAACGGACCGAGGCUUUUGCUUCGGGAUUGCAAUGAGUAGAAUUUAAACCCCUUUACAAGGAUCAAUUGGAGGGCAAGUCUGGUAC